UGUAGCACCGUCAUAUCACAUGGGGUGACAGAGCUGUACCUCAUAUGAUUAUAUGCGAUAUGAGGUGUAGAACCGUCACAGAUAUGAGGUGUAGCACCGUCACCUCAUGCGAUAUGAGGGGUGGUACCGUCACCUCAUGCGAUAUGAGGUGUAGCACCUUCACAUAUAUGAGUGGUAGCACCAUCACCUCAUGCGAUAUGAGGUGUAGCACCGUCACCUCACCUGCGAUAUGAUGGGUAGUACCGUCACCUCAUGCGAUAUGAGGUGUAGCACCGUCACCUCAUGCGAUAUGAGGUGUAGCACCGUUACCUCAUGCGAUAUAUUAGGUUUAGCACCGUCACCUCAUGCGAUAUGAGGGGUAGUACCGUCACCUCAUGCGAUAUGAGGUGUAGCACCGUCACAGAUAUGAGUGGUAGCACCGUCACCUCAUGCGAUAUGAGGUGUAGCACCGUCACCUCAUGCGAUAUGAGGUGUAGCACCGUCACCUCAUGCGAUAUGAGGUGUAGCACCGUCACCUCAUGCGAUAUGAGGGGUAGUACCGUCACCUCAUGCGAUAUGAGGUGUAGCACCGUCACAGAUAUGAGUGUUAGCACCGUCACCUCAUGCGAUAUGAGGUGUAGAACCGUCACAGAUAUGAGGUGUAGCACCAUCAACUCACGCGAUAUGAGGUGUCGCACCGUCACAGAUAUGAGUGGUAGCACCAUCACCUCAUGCGAUAUGAGGUGUAGAACCGUCACAGAUAUGAGGUGUAGCACCGUCACCUCAUGCGAUAUGAGGGGUAGUACCGUCACCUCAUGUGAUAUGAGGUGUCGCACUGUCACAGAUAUGAGUGGUAGCACCGCCACCUCAUGCGAUAUGAGGUGUAGCACCGUCACCUCAUGCGAUAUGAGGGGUAGUACCGUCACCUCAUGUGAUAUGAGGUGUCGCACUGUCACAGAUAUAAGUGGUAGCACCAUCACCUCAUGCGAUAUGAGGUGUAGCACCGUCACCUCAUGCGAUAUGAGGUGUAACACUGUCACCUCAUGCGAUAUAUUAGGUGUAGCACCGUCACCUCACCUGCGAUAUGAGGGGUAGUACCGUCACCUCAUGCGAUAUGAGGUGUAGAACGUCACAGAUAUGAGGUGUAGAACCGUCACAGAUAUGAGGUGUAGCACCGUCACCUCAUGCGAUAUGAGGGGUAGUACCGUCACCUCAUGUGAUAUGAGGUGUAGCACCGUCACAGAUAUGAGUGGUAGCACCGUCACCUCAUGCGAUAUGAGUGGUAGCACCGUCACCUCAUGCGAUAUGAGGUGUAGCACCGUCACCUCACCUGCGAUAUGAGGGGUAGUACCGUCACCUCAUGCGAUAUGAGGUGUAGCACCGUCACAGAUAUGAGUGUUAGCACCGUCACCUCAUGCGAUAUGAGGUGUAGCACCGUCACCUCACGCGAUAUGAGGUGUAGCACCGUCACCUCAUGCGAUAUGAGGGGUAGUACCGUCACCUCAUGUGAUAUGAGGUGUCGCACUGUCACAGAUAUGAGUGGUAGCACCGCCACCUCAUGCGAUAUGAGGGGUAGUACCGUCACCUCAUGUGAUAUGAGGUGUCGCACUGUCACAGAUAUGAAUGGUAGCACCGCCACCUCAUGCGAUAUGAGGUGUAGCACCGUCACCUCAUGCGAUAUGAGUGGUAACACCGUCACCUCAUGCGAUAUGAGGUGUAGCACCGUCACCUCAUGCGAUAUGAGGUGUAGCACCGUCACCUCAUGCGAUAUGAGGGGUAGUACCGUCACCUCAUGCGAUAUGAGGUGUAGCACCGUCACAGAUAUGAGGUGUAGAACUGUCACAGAUAUGAGGUGUAGCUCCGUCACCUCAUGCGAUAUGAGGGGUGGUACCGUCACCUCAUGCGAUAUGAGGUGUAGCACCGUCACAGAUAUGAGUGGUAGCACCGUCACCUCAUGCGAUAUGAGGUGUAGCACCGUCACCUCAUGCGAUAUAUUAGGUGUAGCACCGUCACCUCAUGCGAUAUGAGGGGUAGUACCGUCACCUCAUGCGAUAUGAGGUGUAGCACCGUCACAGAUAUGAGUGUUAGCACCGUCACCUCAUGCGAUAUGAGGUGUAGCACCGUCACCUCAUGCGAUAUGAGGGGUAGUACCGUCACCUCAUGUGAUAUGAGGUGUAGCACCGUCACAGAUAUGAGUGGUAGCACCGUCACCUCAUGCGAUAUGAGGUGUAGCACCGUCACCUCAUGCGAUAUAUUAGGUGUAGCACCGUCACCUCAUGCGAUAUGAGGUGUAGCACCGUUACCUCAUGCGAUAUAUUAGGUUUAGCACCGUCACCUCAUGCGAUAUGAGGGGUAGUACCGUCACCUCAUGCGAUAUGAGGUGUAGCACCGUCACAGAUAUGAGUGUUAGCACCGUCACCUCAUGCGAUAUGAGGUGUAGCACCGUCACCUCAUGCGAUAUGAGGUGUAGCACCGUCACCUCAUGCGAUAUGAGGGGUAGUACCGUCACCUCAUGUGAUAUGAGGUGUCGCAAUGUCACAGAUAUGAGUGGUAGCACCGCCACCUCAUGCGAUAUGAGGUGUAGCACCGUCACCUCAUGCGAUAUGAGGGGUAGUACCGUCACCUCAUGUGAUAUGAGGUGUAGCACCGUCACCUCAUGCAAUAUGAGGUGUCGCACUGUCACAGAUAUAACUGGUAGCACCGUCACCUCAUGCGAUAUGAGGUGUAGCACCGUCACCUCAUGCGAUAUGAGGUGUAGCACCGUCACCUCAUGCGAUAUGAGGGGUAGUACCGUCACCUCAUGUGAUAUGAGGUGUCGCACUGUCACAGAUAUGAGUGGUAGCACCGCCACCUCAUGCGAUAUGAG